UACGUAGGGUGCGAGCGUUAAUCGGAAUUACUGGGCGUAAAGCGUGCGCAGGCGGUUCUCCAAGUCCGUUGUGAAAGCCCCGGGCCUCAACCUGGGAAUGGCAGUGGAAACUAGGGGACUGGAAUCUGGCAGAGGGGGGUGGAAUGCCGCGUGUAGCAGUGAAAUGCGUAGAGAUGCGGCGGAACACCGAUGGCGAAGGCAGCCCCCUGGGCUGAGAUUGACGCUCAGGCACGAAAGCGUGGGGAGCAAACAGG
rnacentral:rRNA from 1 species